rnacentral:rRNA from 1 species
CAAUAGCGUAUAUUGAAGUUGUUGCAGUUAAAAAGCUCGUAGUUGGAUUUCGGGUGGGACGCAGCGGUCUCGCAUUGCGUUUGUACUGCUGCAGCCCUCCUUCUUGCCGGGGGCGGCCUCUCGGACUUCACUGUCUGGGGGUCAGAAUCGGCGAUGUUACUUUGAGUAAAUUAGAGUGUUCAAAGCAAGCUUACGCUCUGAAUAUAAUAGCAUGGGAUAACACGACAGGACUCUGGCCUAUCGUGUUGGUCUAUAGGACCAGAGUAAUGAUUAAGAGGGACAGUCGGGGGCAUUCGUAUUCCGUUGUCAGAGGUGAAAUUCUUGGAUUUACGGAAGACGAACAUCUGCGAAAGCAUUUGCCAAGGAUGUUUUCAUUGA